CUCUGUUUCAGGCAGCACUAGCAGUGUGUAUGCUUCCAGCAUCCUCAGAUAUAAAGGAACCCCUUCUUCUCAUGGAAUGGAUAGAUUUAACAUAAGAGAAGGAGUGGAGAAACACCAUAUGGGCAGUAGCCCAUAGUCAGGGUAUGUCUGAGAAGAGAAACAGAUGAUGGCUAACUGACACCAUGAAGAGGAUGUGAAGCUGGUGGGUGCCUCCAAAGCUGCUGCUGGAACCUACUACACAAAGCACAGAGAGUUUGCUCAUUUCCUGUGAUGGAGAAAACCAGUAUAAAGGAUACACCAACCUCUGAACCUGGUGUUGGCUGAAAGAUGGGAGGAAUAUCUGGCUGUCACAGUUGACUAAUCUGAACAUCAGGAUGAAUGGGAGCUGGUGUAAGCUGGCCUUUCCAAUUAGUCCAAGAUAGAGGUACAAGAAAUGACCAUCAUCAUAGAAAGCACCAGGCUGAACAUGAUCAAAUUCUCUUCAGCUCCCAGAGGCCUCUCUUGCUGUUUGCUCUACUUUCCUGCCAGGGUC
ensembl:lncRNA